rnacentral:lncRNA from 1 species
AUGCCUCCCGGGGACGGUGCUCGGCCUCCUCCCGGUGCUCGGCCCCCGUCCCCAGGCCUCCAGGAGGGAGCGAAGCCGCCCGGAGCCUCGGGGACCUCCUGCGGCCCUGGAGCCCGAUGCCAUCGCCGCCGCCUCGCGCUGAGCCUCUCGCGGCCGACCCACCGAGUGCCCCCUGGCCACAGCUCGCUGCCCGCGCCUGAGCUGCCCCCGCCGCAGCCCUGCCCAGCCCGCACCGCAUCGCCCCGCGCCCGGGGCCCGCUGCCAGGCAGGUGUCAGGAGGGGUCCGGCCUGGGGAAACUGAGGCACGGCGCAGGGAGCAGCAGGGCCAGGCACCGGGCUCGGUACCCCGCUGGGAAGCUUGGUUGGGGGGCCCUCUGUUUCCCCACAGGGCAGUGAUGUUGGUGCCCUCCCUGCCCAAGCACGGGGGGGAUCUUGGGGUGCCUCAUCCCCUCUGUCACUGCCCCAAGGGGUGGAUUUAAAGCCCUGAGGACAGCAAACGGGGACAGAGGAGGGGCUGUGCUGCUGGGGGUUUUGUCUGCGUUUCACGCUCCUCACCCCAGCGAGGGGCUGCCUCGCCCCCCCCCGACCUUCCCAGGAGCUGGGGGCACGGGGAGCACCGGGGCUUCUGCACCCGGGGCUGGGGCAGCGAAAGCACUGGGCUGUGGCUGGGGGGGGCCCGGCUGUCCCCGCCUGCCCCCCCGCGGAGCUCGCCUCCUUCCCUGCCUGCUGCCAUGAAUUAUUUGUGUGGCCGCGGCUCCCGGAUGAGGCUGCGCCGCUGCCCGCGGGUGGGAUGGGGCGAGCUGCCCCCGCUGCCCCCUGGCCGGCUCCGGGCAUGAUCUCCUCGCUCCCCGUGGGCUGGGCCGCACGCAGGGCUCCCGUUAAUUGCGUGCCUCGAAAUAACGACCAGCUCGGCGGGGACAGCACUGCCAGCAGCCUGGUCCCCGCUGAGUGCAGGGGGGCAUCGGGCAGCAGAGCCUUGCGGGAGCCUCUUUGGCCCCAGCACCCUGCUCACNNNNNNNNNNGCUGGCCCCAGGCUCUGGCCGUGGCUGGGGGGGGGCCCAGCUGUCCCCGCCUGCCCCCCCGCGGAGCUCGCCUCCUUCCCUGCCUGCUGCCAUGAAUUAUUUGUGUGGCCGCGGCUCCCGGAUGAGGCUGCGCCGCUGCCCGCGGGUGGGAUGGGGCGAGCUGCCCCCGCUGCCCCCUGGCCGGCUCCGGGUGUGAUCUCCUCGCUCCCCGCGGGCUGGGUGGCUGCUGCGCCGCACACAGGGCUCCCGUUAAUUGUGUGCCUCGAAAUAGCGACCAGCUCGGUGGGGACAGCACUGCCAGCAGCCUGGCCCCUGGUGAGUGCAGGGGGGCAUCGGGCAGCAGAGCCUUGCGGGAGCCUCUUUGGCCCCAGCACCCUGCUCACAGGUGGCUUUGUGACCAUCGUUCUGGGGACAAACCCUGCCGUGCCGGGGCUGUGAGCACGCCGGGCAGGAUGAGGCCUCGCUGGGGCUGUGCUGAGCCAGGUAGCUCCUGGGGGUGAGCGGCAGUGCCGGUAUAUAGGGCACCGCGCGGGCUCCGUGCCGCGUGGGAGGGCGGAAAGCAGCUCGCGUGCGUUGCGGGGUGGGAGUCGGCGGCACCGGCCGCUAUUUCUGGCACUCGCUCCCUGGGGGACGUUGGGAAAGUCACCGCGUCCCCCUGGGGCUGCUCCGCCGGGAUGCUCUCUGCCGUCCCCUGCUCCUCCCCAGCAUCUUGGGGGGCUGCUCCCCUGCUGCUCCCCCCUUUCUGUGGGUUGGAGAGGUGACGUGUGCCCUGUGUCCCCUCCGGCCUGCCCGGUGGCCCCACAGCUCCGAGGGCUCCAGAGCUGCUGUGGCCGCUUCUGUCCCCGUCUCACCCCGGGGUGCUCGCGUCCCCCCA